rnacentral:rRNA from 1 species
AGAGUUUGAUCCUGGCUCAGAUUGAACGCUGGCGGCAUGCCUUACACAUGCAAGUCGAACGGCAGCACGGAGCUUGCUCUGGUGGCGAGUGGCGAACGGGUGAGUAAUAUAUCGGAACGUACCCUAGAGUGGGGGAUAACGUAGCGAAAGUUACGCUAAUACCGCAUACGAUCUAAGGAUGAAAGUGGGGGAUCGCAAGACCUCAUGCUCGUGGAGCGGCCGAUAUCUGAUUAGCUAGUUGGUAGGGUAAAAGCCUACCAAGGCAUCGAUCAGUAGCUGGUCUGAGAGGACGACCAGCCACACUGGAACUGAGACACGGUCCAGACUCCUACGGGAGGCAGCAGUGGGGAAUUUUGGACAAUGGGCGAAAGCCUGAUCCAGCAAUGCCGCGUGAGUGAAGAAGGCCUUCGGGUUGUAAAGCUCUUUUGUCAGGGAAGAAACGGUGAAAGCUAAUAUCUUUUGCUAAUGACGGUACCUGAAGAAUAAGCACCGGCUAACUACGUGCCAGCAGCCGCGGUAAUACGUAGGGUGCAAGCGUUAAUCGGAAUUACUGGGCGUAAAGCGUGCGCAGGCGGUUUUGUAAGUCUGAUGUGAAAUCCCCGGGCUCAACCUGGGAAUUGCAUUGGAGACUGCAAGGCUAGAAUCUGGCAGAGGGGGGGUAGAAUUCCACGUGUAGCAGUGAAAUGCGUA